GACGAACGCUGGCGGCGUGCCUAAUACAUGCAAGUAGAACGCUGAAGGAGGAGCUUGCUUCUCCGGAUGAGUUGCGAACGGGUGAGUAACGCGUAGGUAACCUGCCUGGUAGCGGGCGAUAACUAUUGGAAACGAUAGCUAAUACCGCAUAACAGUAGAUGUUGCAUGACAUUUGCUUAAAAGGUGCAAUUGCAUCACUACCAGAUGGACCUGCGUUGUAUUAGCUAGUUGGUGAGGUAACGGCUCACCAAGGCGACGAUACAUAGCCGACCUGAGAGGGUGAUCGGCCACACUGGGACUGAGACACGGCCCAGACUCCUACGGGAGGCAGCAGUAGGGAAUCUUCGGCAAUGGACGGAAGUCUGACCGAGCAACGCCGCGUGAGUGAAGAAGGUUUUCGGAUCGUAAAGCUCUGUUGUAAGAGAAGAACGAGUGUGAGAGUGGAAAGUUCACACUGUGACGGUAUCUUACCAGAAAGGGACGGCUAACUACGUG
rnacentral:rRNA from 1 species